rnacentral:rRNA from 1 species
AGUCCACGCCGUAAACGAUGCCAACUAGCAAUCGGGAGAGUCGACCCUCUCGGUUGCGAAGCUAACGCGUCAAGUUGGCCGCCUGGGGAGUACGGUCGCAAGACUAAAACUCAAAGGAAUUGGCGGGGGCUCGCACAAGUGGUGGAGCAUGUGGUUUAAUUCGACAACAAGCGAAAAACCUUAUCCAGGCCUUGACAUCUAGGGAAGGCUCUUGAAAGAGAGCUGUGCCUUCGGGAACCCUAAGACAGGUACUGCACGGUCGUCGUCAGUUCGUGUCGUGAGAUGUGAGGUUAAGUCCUUGAACGAACGCAACCCUUGUCCUAUGUUGGAUUUCAUAGGAGACUGCCCUGGCAACAGGGAGGAAGGUGGGGAUGACGUCAGAUCAGCGUGGUCUUUAUGGCCUGGGCUACACACGUGCUACAAUGCCGCAGACAAUGGGUUGCCAAGCCGCGAGGCGGAGCUAAUCCCAUCAAAAUGCGGCUCAGUUCGGAUCGGAGUCUGCAAUUCGACUCCGUGAAGCCGGAAUCACUAGUAAUCGUGAAUCAGAACGUCACGGUGAAUACGUUCUCGAGCCU